CCCUUAGAUGUUCUGGGCCGCACGCGCGCUACACUGACGAAUGCAACGAGCUUAUAACCUUGGCCGAAAGGUCUGGGUAAUCUCCAAAUUUCGUCGUGAUGGGGAUAGAUUAUUGCAAUUAUUAAUCUUCAACGAGGAAUGCCUAGUAAGCGCAAGUCAUCAGCUUGCGUUGAUUACGUCCCUGCCCUUUGUACACACCGCCCGUCGCUCCUACCGAUUGAAUGGUCUGGUGAAGCGUUCGGACCGUGGCCUUUGGACGGUUCGCCGUCUGUUGGCUGCGGGAAGUUCGUUAAACCUUAUCAUUUAGAGGAAGGAGAANUCGUANCA
rnacentral:rRNA from 1 species